rnacentral:rRNA from 1 species
AGUGAACGCUGGCGGUAGCCUAACACAUGCAAGUCGAACGGCAGCACAAUAAGAGCCUGCUCUUACGGGGGGCGGGUGGCGGACGGGGGAGGAAAACAUCGGAAACUACUUUUUUGUGGGGGGUAAAGGAGGGGAACCUACGCUAAAAACGCAUACCGCCUACGGGUGAAAACAGGGGAACUUUCGACCUUGCGGCAAUGAAUGAGCCGAUGUCGGAUUAGCUAGUUGGCGGGGUAAAGGCCCACCAAGGCGACGAUCCGUAGCUGGUCUGAGAGGAUGAUCAGCCACACUGGAACUGAGACACGGUCCAGACUCCUACGGGAGGCAGCAGUGGGGAAUAUUGGACAAUGGGCGCAAGCCUGAUCCAGCCAUACCGCGUGGGUGAAGAAGGCCUUCGGGUUGUAAAGCCCUUUUGUUGGGAAAGAAAAGCAGCAGGUUAAUACCCCGCUGUUCUGACGGUACCCAAAGAAUAAGCACCGGCUAACUUCGUG